AUGACAAGACCCCAUUUUUAAGUCACAGUGCCCACAUUGGCCGCAAUUUUGAUGAGGAUGAACGCAAGCCUUUGGAUGGGUUGUCAGGUUCUCGACGAACUGUCACUGAUGAGAGCAACCGUGCUCCGCCAAGUCGUGUGGUAGAACCUAAGAUAGAUAGUUUGGCUGGUGCUAGAGUUGGUAGUCAGCUGUCUUCAACCCCUCCCUCUCAUUUGUCUAGUGAUACAACUGUUAGUUCUUAUGCUGGAAAUGCUGGUAGGCAUAGUGAAGUUCAUAACAUGGGGUCGAAUAUUCAAAAUUUUAGGUCAGCUGUUGCUGGUUCCUAUUCAAAUCCAUGGGGUGUGAAGAAGGAGGUGGCGCAUGUGAGUGACCCUGUAUCUGCUUCAUGGUCAGCUCCGGAUGUUGCAGUGAAGCUGUCACAUGCUAGUGCCAUUGAGAAGGUCUCCUCUGGUCGGUGGCAUUCGCAACAUGUUCAUCCUCAAAAAGAUGUUGAGGCCAUUGGACAGUCGGAACCUGAGAGAGAAUUUCAUUGUCGGGGCAAAGACAUGUCCAACAGGAAUAUUUACAAUGGUACAAAUGUGUUAGGUGGAACUGACUAUCAUGAUAUUGCAUUGGCGAUGCAUAUGGAAAGGAGUCUGAUUGCUGGUGAUGGGAUUCACAAUGGUGGAAAGGAGACACUGUCUCAUGAUAGAGUCAGGAGUACCAUGUACACGGAGAUGCAUGGGAGGAAUCCUUCCGUUAAUGACAAGGAAUUUCAGCCACGUAGCACUACUGGAGUAUCUGGUGAUACUGAGUUACAGUCUCCAGGGACUUCAGAAACAUCAGAGCGACCCAAAUUGAAGUUACUUCCAAGAUCCAAACCGUUAGAGGAUUUAGAGCUUCCUCUCGAUUAUAAACAGGUAAAAGUUAGUGUUUUAACAUUCUGAUUUUUCUAUUGAACUGGAAAUCAAGUAUAAUUUAAUGUAUCUUUGCAAUUCGUCUUUCUGAGUGAAGGGACGCCAGCGGCCAAGUGAUCCGAUUCAUUUGAGGGUCGACAAUGAAUUACCCAGAACUGCAAUUCCUGUAGAACCUGGGUUUACUGGAUCAAUGGUCGUUAAUCAUGCGGUAGAGCGCCCAAAAUUGAGAUUAAAGCCUUGCUCACUACCUCUUGAACAAUUGGAGGGAAACACUGAAAUCAAAAGGUCCAUCAACUUUUACUAACUUGCUCACAGAAUUUUUUGUCGUUUAUUUCUUCUCGACCUGUUUGCAUUCUUAGUCUAUUUGAUUUUUUUUUAUUUUACUCGUGACAGGAUAAAUAGAUUACAUUACUAUUGAUGAAACUUUAUAGUAAUUGACAGAUGAUAAACUGAGGUAAUUAUACUGUUUCAAAUAGCAAUAGAUGUAACUUUUAUAAAAUUUUAAUUGCCAAGGAGAUGCCAAAGGUAUUGUGCUCCAAGGAGAUUCUAAUAAAGGUAUUGUGCUCGGCACAAACUUGGUCAUUUUUCUCAGCCUCAUCAAAUUGUUGCAACUUAUAACGACUUCAACAAGGUACCUUAAUGUUGACAAUGAGUGCAUUUUAGGAAUAGGAAAUUGGGUUUUCAGCUUGCUAAGUCCGCAUGUUUUCAGUGUUAGAAUGGCAGAGAAGUUACAACUUGAACUUUUUAGCCCACUCUCAUGCAAUAAGUAACACUCAAAGACCAACCACUGUAGGUACCCUUUUCUUGAGGUUUUCACUGCCAAUGACGAUGGUAAGUUGUAGCACGAGACUUAGCAAUCACCUGAGUUGGUGGUGUAGAAGCAGUACCAGUAGGUUCUGGAUUGGAGCAGCAGUGACUACAUUAACUGGUUGUAACAUUAAAGGGACGUUGGCAAUCAGUUAUAACCUAUUAUAACUUAUAAUAGAAGUAGUAAUGUAACUGCAGUAGCAAAAAUACCAAUACUAGAGUCUGUUAACUUCAGCUUAAGAAAAGAAUUAAGCUUGUUGUACGUUAUUAUUUAUCAGAUAUAAAAAAAAAUUCAGAAGAUGGUACUUCUUUUACCAUCACAAUUUACCUUUCUUAUGCUUGUUUCUCUUGGAAUUUUAGUUUCUCCCAGUGAGAACUCUCUUGUUGAUCCUCUCCAUUUCUGUCUUUGUCAUUGUCGCAGAAACACUGUGUUCGCAGGGGCUCGUCCACGAGAAGUGGUAAGUACAUUUCCGUCAUUGUCAAAUUAUCUGAAAAAUUCAUUUGGAAAUUUCAAGUUAUGUAAAUCUUCUUUCUGCUUGAUGCCUUCUAAACCUCCAUUUAUAGGCUUUUUGGAUACUCAUUUUUUAACUCGGUCUUGCUGCUACUCCAGAUGUGGUUUUAUCUUAAUAAUUGAUGGUUGUGGGUCUUUUCUGCAUCUUUUCCGUAUGGUUGCUCCAUGGUUAGCUUUAUUAUCGUGAUUGUCAAUCUGUCUACCAGGUUCUGAAGGAUCGGGGGAUUGAUGGUGUUGCCGUUAACCUUUAUGACAGUCAACCUCCUUCUCGGUAUCAAUAUAAUUUCAGUUCUUUUUAAUGAGAGUUUCUAUGAAUUAAAGAUUUGUACAUGUUCACACAACUUCUUUUCUCAUCUUUAUUUGCAUUAUUUACUGCGUGAAGGAUCAAUCAAGAUGCUCCCAAGAUGGAUCCAGUGUCGGUGCAAGUUACUCCUGCCGGUUAUAGUGAGAAAGCUAAAAAAUUUCUUGGUGAUCAACGGGUAGCGAGGAGUUCUGAUAGGCGAGAUCAACGUAUGGACAUUGAAAGAACAGAUGCACGGAGGAGGAACAAAGGAAAUGAAAGUUGGAGGAAUUACAGAGAAAUUGUAAAACACGAUGACCUGCAGCCGCAGCAACAGGAGAGGGACCUGUCACCUGACACCUGGUGCAAGCCUGUCGAAAGUCCAAAACCCGACUCCACGCCUGCCCCUGAGCAGCGUCAUGGGAAAGUGACUUCCGCUCUUGAGCUUGUGCAGGCCUUCUCCAGACCAGUCUCUGAUCCGACUAUUGCUGAUUGUCUUUCUGGCCCCCAAGGCAUUCCGAGCCAGAGUCAGAUAUCUUUUUCUCGGUUAACAGGUUGAGGCCCGAAGCCUCAGAUUAAUGGUUACUGAAUUUUCGCUAUAGCAGAUACAUUUAAAACGAGAGAAACUUUCACCCCCUCCAAAUGUUCGUUUACACCUGAAUCCCGGUGGGUUAUUUUCCCUAGUUCAUAGUGAUCAUUGAGAAGGGAUCCGAUUGGUACUUGACGCAACGUUCGAGCCACAUACAAACAAGAAAAUAACAUACAUUUUUUCUUCAUGUUGACAAUAAUCACAUAACUGUUGUAUUUCAGGAAAUUUAUCUAUUGACAGAUUUCCUAUUGAAGUUCAUCUAGCCUAAUUUGGGAUUUAUGAGUUUGCGAGUGGAUUUAUUUUUCCAUUGAUCACAUUUGCCGCUGGGCUUUUAGUUUCCGGUGAUGCUUUUUCUUUCCAUUGCAGUAAUUAAUUAAUUUUUUGACAUGUAAUAGAUGUUUCAAAUUUGCUUGUUUAAGCUUAAACAAUAUACUAGUAAGUAAAUAAAUUAAUUUCAUAUAAAAUAAAUAUUUCUAAUAAUUAAUUUUGGCACAUUAAGCUUUAUCAAAUUUGGUCUGCUGCACAUUAUAGACAUCGCGGAUAUGAAUUAUUGGUCAUGUCCUUGCUCUCUGUAUAUCUGUUCUUAAUUUACAUUAUUAGGUUCCAUUUGAUUCCUAUUUUUUGGUCAAAAAAUGAAAAAUAUGAUCGUUAUUCAUCACACUACGUCAUCAUAUUUGACUUUUUACUUCUUAUGUGGAUUCCAUAACAAUUAUAUUUUUCAUGCUCAUUCUUAUUCUUAUAAGAAUGAGAAUCAAAUGGGACUUAAUAAAUUUAUUACAGUAAAGUAGUUGAUAAUUUAAGGAUGUGGGUCCUAUUUAUGGAGGUUUUAUUUAUUUAUUUAUUUUGAGGAAGUACUUUAAUAUUUAUUUACUCCUGUCAAUCUAUUAAACUUUCUUGACAACAUUGCAAUUUCAAGAAAAAAUUUAAUACAAAGAUGGUAAGUAAUGCAAUGAUAUUGCCUACAAGGCACAAGCAAUGUGACUUUCCCAAAAGCCUUUUGAGAAAGAGUAAAGGCUUCCAUGUAAGAAAUAGUUGAGAUCACUUGUAUUAAUCCUUUAAAACGACUCCUCGACUGCGCAAGGGACAUCGAUGACAGUUUGCAGCAGUCUCUUGCUUCUUCUCGCCUGCAGUUGCUGCUCUAAGCACUCUAUCAGUGCUUGGGAAAUCGGAAAGGGAAAUCCUUUUCAUGUUUCAUAUAGGCUCCUACUAUGCGGAAAUGGAGAAAUUUUGCAACUUCUGAUUUAAAUGGACACAGUUUCAAGUUCACAAUUACUUUUAAAAUCAUCGGAGAUUUGUAUUCUCUAUGUAUAAAUCUAUUUGAUCUAACCCUAUUUGGCUCAGAUUUUAAUAUGAGUUAAAAUCAAACAAACAAUGUUAAUUACAUUUUCAUGGGUUCCACAAUUUUUUGACCACACAUUUCGAAAAAUUUCUAUCAAAAUCUGUUAAAAAUCUAAUUUUAAUCCUCACCAAACAUCCUGCCAUGUUGUUUGAUGACACUUGAAAAAAAAGAAAAAAAGAAACAUGGUCAUCUUUCCAAUGGUUGAAAAAGUAGAGAAAAUGAUGUAAUGUGUUAAUGGUUAGUACAUAGUGCUGCAUUGACUAGAUUUAGUUCUUAACAUUUGAUGUAUUACAUAUUGAUGGAACUAUUCUCGAGUUGCAGUUAAAUCAGUAAUUGGAUCUCUAGAAAAUCACACAACUAGAGCAGACUAAGGUCAACCCAAUUUUAUCAUAACUGCUUUUUUCUACCUACCAACCGGAGUCCUUAAACUUCACAAAAUAUGCCAUUUCUGUCUUCAUUCAAUUCUAUUUCACACACACAUCUUCAAACUUUCAAUCUGUGCACACUAAUUGGAAACCUGCAACAAAUAGCCUACGUGACAAGUUGAUCCCAAUCAGUAAAAAGGUACAUUCUUUGUGUUGUAUUCGAGAAAACCGGCAUUAGUAGAUUUUGCAAAUUCCAUAAUCAGCUUGAAAAGUUCAAUAGAAAAGAAAAGAAAAACGCAGCUACCAGAAUAAAAAAACUAAUUUCAAAUAUAUGAAUUAUCAUAGAUACGUUAGUAAUACAUGUUUGUAGACAUACAUUUGUUCUACUACUACAUAAAGAAAGAAUCAGUUUAUUGCUUUAGAAGUCCUUCAUGAUUAGCUUAUCAAGAAGUUUAAACGCAGGCAAUAGCUUUCUCUCCCUGCAAACUACAUCAAUUAGUAGACUCCAUGUAUUUGGCUCUGGUUUAAACCCCAUAUCCAUCAAAAGGAACGACGUAACAGCAGCUUCAUUUGCCUUUCCGGCCUCACAAAGACGAACCAGUAACUCAUUUGAUGUAGCGAAAUGGGGCAGAAAACCCCUAUCCAGCAUCAGACGCAACAAAUUAUUCGCCUUCUCCAAUUCACCUUCCUUGCACAAGAAAUUUAACACAAUCCUGUAACUAGCCUUGUUAAGAUAAACACCAUCAUAUGGUAACCUCUCGAGCAUGUUGAGUGCCUCAUCAAAUCUACCUUCUCUGCACAAUCCCCCGAGUAUUACAUUAAACGUCACCUCAUCUGCUUUGCACUCAUUUUCUUUCAUCUCCUUGAGCAGAACAAUGGCUUCAUCAGUUCUAGCAGCUCUGCACAAGAAGUUAAUUAAAGUGGUAAAAAUAACAGUAUCAGGUUUCAGACCAGCACUUUUCAUCUCAUCAAAAGUUCCCUUGGCUUCCUCCAGUCUUCCCUCCUUACAGAACCCAUUCAUUAAUGCUGAGUAAUUGAUUACAUUAGGGUUGCAUCCAUUUUUCUUCAUGAAUUCCAUUAUCUUCCUAGCUCUGUCAGUUUUUCCUCCACGAGAAAACCCAUUGAUUAAAACACUGUAAGUUAAUGCAUCAGGCACAAUUUGAUGUUUUGUGAGCAUUUCCUCAAACAGAUCGAUUGCUUCUUUUAGUCUGCCGCUUCCACAAAGACCAUCCAUCAGAGUUGAAUAGGUGAUCAAGUUAGGAAAAGAUACCUUUGACUUUUCCAUCUCUUUUACCACUUCAAAUGCAGACGCUAGAUCUCCCCUUUUGCAGUGGUGUUUAACCAAAAUGUUAAAGAUGCAUGUAUUGGGUUCCAAAUGUUUUCAAAAAAAAAAAAAGUCCCCCCCCCCCCCCCCCCAUUCUGACUCAUUUUUGUUGGAUAAUAUUGAAAAGAUAAAGCACAUCGACACUGUAAUUGGACAGGGAAGGUAUGAUGUUUGCUGCCCCAUGAUGUCUGCCUGGGAUCUUCACAAAGCUUGGCCAGAGGUUGAUUUCAUAAUUGUUCCUGAUGCUAGGCAUUCUGCUAAUGAGCCGGGGACAUCAGAACAACUGGUUGCUGCAACCAAUAAAUUGAAACACAUCAUCAAGGAGAAGUAAAGCUAAAGUUUUCAGCCAUUAGUUUUUAUUUGAUCCUGUAUUGUGAACCUAAGGUAGUUUAUUUCCCAUUUGUUGGAUUUGAAGUUCAUGUGAAGAGUCGACAACUUGUUAGAGGGGCAUCCUUUCAGUUCUGUUUCGUGAAUUUGAUGACUAUACUUCAAGUAUAUGAACUUGGUGACAUAAUAAUAAUAAUGGGGAUGAAUAUAGCGAUUUUUUAAAAGAUUUUGAAAUUGUUUCAAGAAUGUAUUUAGAGUGAGAUGAAUAUAUAAAAUUUGUGUGGAUAUAUAUUGUUUAAAUGAAAUAAUUCAAUAAGGAAAAUAUUGGAAUGUAACGUGGAUGACAAUAGUAAUUUUUUAAAAUUUUAAUAUUUUUGUAGGGAAUAUAUAUAAUAAAAGAAACAAAUUAUUGUGUUAAAUUGCAAAUGGAUGAUAAGUAGUAAAGUGUAAAAUUCGAGUGUCCAUUUAUGAUCUGUGACAGUGGAGCUUUGUGUUAUUUUCCAAAAGGAAUGGGAUGUUUUUGUAUUUGUCAUAAACUAUGGGGGAGGAUUGUGCAGUUUUAUCAAGGCAUAGAAAGGGGGGGAAGGGAAAACGAAAAAACCUAUUGUACAGUUAGGGCAGACGAAUUCUGCAGAUUGCGUCCCCAAUCAAAGGUUUAAAACCCUUCUCUCCCAAAUGCCAAAUCACAGAUUCCUUUUCUCUGUUUAAGUUUCCGCAGACUGCAAUCAUUACUAUUAGAUAGAUUUUUAGAUAGUGAAAAUAGCGGAACUAUAAUUUAUUUAUUUAUUUAUUUAUACAGAUUUAUUCAAUAAAUUAUCAAAUUGGGGGAGAAGGGUUUUUUAUUUAAAAAUAUACCCCUGUGUAUAGAUUCAUAUAUAUUGAAUAAUUUAGUGAGAGACUGCGAGAAGCAAGGAGAGUGAAAAUGUCGAAGAAGAAAGCAACGAUGACUCUCAAAGACUUCCAUGGCGGUUCCAUUCCUUCCGAUCUUCGACUCCCCUCUGCACCUGGCCUGUGAGUUCUUUUUAUCUUUUUGACGCUUCCAUUUCAUUAUUGAUUAUACCGGAAGAAGUAUACAUGUCAAGUCUGUUUUUGUAAUGUGAUUUUGGGAAAAUGUCAGGUUUUUUUUUUUUUUUUUUGAGUUCAAUACUAUACUUAUUCAUUUGGUCUCAAUUCAAGAUCAUUUUUUUAAGUUGAAUUUUAUACCCAACAAAUUGUAGUGUCAUUUCCCAUUAAUUCCUUGAAUCCAGGUUUAUUUGUUUAUUUAAUUUGAGGAAAUGUUUAGUGGGCAUUUUAUUUAUUUUGUAAAUCAGAACAGUAAAAUACUGGAUUUAGUAUUUGAAAUUUUGAAUAUGGUUCAUAUUUUUGGACAGAAUGGCAAGACCUGCAGAUCGAGGUAGUUUUGAUCAGCAGUCGCCAUGGGGAAAUUCGAUGGGUAGGUCCAGUCAACGCUUGAGGCCGGCAUCAGCUGGGUCAGCUAGGAACUUUGAUGACAAGACCCCAUUUUUAAGUCACAGUGCCCACAUUGGCCGCAAUUUUGAUGAGGAUGAACGCAAGCCUUUGGAUGGGUUGUCAGGUUCUCGACGAACUGUCACUGAUGAGAGCAACCGUGCUCCGCCAAGUCGUGUGGUAGAACCUAAGAUAGAUAGUUUGGCUGGUGCUAGAGUUGGUAGUCAGCUGUCUUCAACCCCUCCCUCUCAUUUGUCUAGUGAUACAACUGUUAGUUCUUAUGCUGGAAAUGCUGGUAGGCAUAGUGAAGUUCAUAA
rnacentral:lncRNA from 1 species